rnacentral:piRNA from 1 species
CAGUUAGAAGAAAAGAGCGAAGA